rnacentral:rRNA from 1 species
GAUGAACGCUGGCGGUAUGCUUAACACAUGCAAGUCGAACGGACUCUUCGGAGUUAGUGGCGGACGGGUGAGUAACGCGUGAGAAUCUGGCUUUGGGUUCGGGACAACCACUGGAAACGGUGGCUAAUACCGGAUGUGCCGAGAGGUAAAAGAGAAAUUGCCUGAAGAUGAGCUCGCGUCUGUUUAGCUAGUUGGUGAGGUAAAGGCUCACCAAGGCAGCGAUCAGUAGCUGGUCUGAGAGGAUGACCAGCCACACUGGGACUGAGACACGGCCCAGACUCCUACGGGAGGCAGCAGUGGGGAAUUUUCCGCAAUGGGCGAAAGCCUGACGGAGCAAUACCGCGUGAGGGAAGAAGGCUCUUGGGUUGUAAACCUCUUUUCUUAGGGAAGAACAAAAUGACGGUACCUAAGGAAUCAGCAUCGGCUAACUCCGUG